rnacentral:rRNA from 1 species
UGUAAGCGUAUACCAAAGUUGUUGCAGUUAAAACGCUCGUAGUCGGAAUUUGGCAGUUCCGGAUGUGUGCACGUCGUGUGCGCACUUCGCGGGGCUUGCUUUUGUGGUCUUGCGUAGGAUGAGGCACUUUUAUUAGUGAACGUCCUCACGCAACCACUUUUUACUGUGAGAAAAUCAGAGUGCUCAAAGCAGGCAUUUGCCGUGAAUGUAUUAGCAUGGAAUAAUAGAAUAGGACUUGGUUCUAUUUUGUUGGUUUGUUGGGACUGAGUAAUGAUUAAGAGGGACAGUUGGGGGCAUUUGUAUUUCGGUGCUAGAGGUGAAAUUCUUAGAUUACCGAAAGACAAACUGCUGCGAAAGCGUCUGCCAAGGAUGUUUUCAUUGA